UCAAUCUAUCAUGUGGUGUUCUUGGCUUUGUUUAGUGUUUUUGCCCUUGCCUUCCUCUGAAGCUGAGAUAAUCUGACUUGUCCAAUGUCAGCCACUAUAUUUCCAUGAUGGUAGUAGGUUAGCAACAAUGCAUUAUAUUUAACAGAGAUGGUAUCAAUGCUGCACAAUGUUAGGUGGUUUGAUACCAUUUUUAGUAUCUUGGCUAUAUCUGAUAAAAUCUAGGAAUGUGUAGUUUGACAAGAUAUGAAGAAUUCCUCUAUUAUGACACACCUUUGAGCAAAUUCAGAUUGCAAAGCUUACAUGUUGUUGUGAUAGGUGAUAAUUCAGCUACUAUGCAGCUCGGCCAAAAUUGUAAAAUACAACUGCUCAUUAAAAAAGUACGACCAUUAAUGAUCAAUCGCCCGUUUGUGAGGGAGAAGACUGAGUCUCUGCUCCCAUGGUUCAGCUGUUCAGCUUGUGGUGACUUUGAGCGGCAAAAGACAAUUUGUUCUAUACAAACAUGACAAAUUUGCGUGGCAUAAUAAAACGAGUGUGGCCGUAUCGCUGGUAAACAAUGUAUCCAUGCAAACAUUGCCGCUCAAAUUCAUGUUGGCUUUUUAUGUUGCGCUUCUUGUGAUGCCUGCAAUUAAGCUGUUGUUUAUGGUUGAUAACAGAGAAGCUGACUCUUUUCAUUUGCUCUUGCCAUUCCUAUGCAUAAAUCAGAAAGCAUGGAUGUAGCUCCAUUAUGUUUGAAUGUUUACAAAAUCAAUAUAGGAGUCGCAAUGUUCUCAAGGCCUUUUAGCAACCAGAAUCCUACCUGGACUUUUUGUUUUGUUUUUGUUUUUUUUUUAAAUUGAGAAACAACUGUUGCUGUAUGAAAAUUAAAGUUGUGUUUGCAAGAGGAUUUCAGUGAUUUCUUUAAAGCAGUGAAGGUUGAAGGAAGAGGAGGAAUCAUCUCAAAUGUUCACAGCAUGGAGAUGAAACUGACAAUCAACAAAAGUCAGCUCAAUUCUGAGUAUUUUUGUUGUUUACUUGUUCAGUCACUUCCGACUCUUGGUAAUCUCAUGGACCAGCCCAGGCUAGAGCUCCUUGAUGGCCGUGGCCACCCCCAGCUCCUUCAAGGUCAAAAAACCAUCUAUCCCUCUUGCCCUUGGUCGACCCUCUUCCUUUUUCCUUCCAUUUUCCCAGCAUCAUGAUCUUUUCAAAGCUUUCCUGUCUUCUCCUGAUGUGGCCAAAGUACUUCAUCUUUGCUUCUAAUAUCCUUCCCUCCGGUGAGCAAUUGGGCUUUAUUUCCUGGCAUAUGGACUGGUUGGAUCUUCUUGCGGUCCGAGGUCCUUCGCUCAGUCUUCCUUAUGUCCAGCACGCACAACCUUAUGGGUGUUUAGGAUUCAUCAGUGCAUUCUUCUAAAGAAUGCAUUGAAGUAUAGAGAAGAAAGAAAACAUACAAAUUCUCCUUGUAAUCUACAGUGUAUUUUGGAAGAACUCUACCUCUUUAUUCAACCACAUCUCAGUGUUGAGUCUGCCAUAUCAAUGUUCUGGUUUUUGUUGGUUUAGCUUUAUCUUCCCCAGCUUGGUGCCCUCCAGGUAUGUUGUACAUGGUGGCCAAAAAUGAUAGGAAGUGUAGUCCAGCAUCAGGUGGGCUAGCAUGUAGCAUAGAUACUGUGCACUGUCCAUGCAAUGUAAGGUUGAGAACCACUGUAUUACACAAUAUGAUAUUCAGCUUCCAAUUUUUUAGCUAAAUAAAGGAUGGAUAUUAUUGAUUUCAUACUACACUGAAUAUCUUGGAAGCACCACCCAUUUCCAUAUCUUGUUGACUUGUUGUAUGAAAGUCUCACAAGCGAUGGCUGUGAUAGUUGAGUUCACUAUGCAGCUAAUUCCAGAUUAGCAUCUUCCCAUCUUUCCUGUCCACAGAAUUAAUGGGCCAAAAACGGUGCUGGCUUUUCUUCCUCUUCUCUUAAAUUCAAGAUUUAACUAAAAAAGACUUAAGACUUGCCUGGAGAGGGUGAAGAAAAAAAAAUAAGGCUUGUUGGAGAGGAUAUAUUCAAAAGAUAAUAUGGCUUUUCUAAAAACUGGUAAUUUAUCUAUAGGAUUAUUAAUCAAGUUUGAGAAAGAUAAGGUUAAUUGAAUUUUUAAAUGAGCGGCUGUGUUAUCCUUCAAGCACCUUGGAGCUCAUUCAAUAUUCACACCUUUUUCAUCCCACUUGGAAGUGAUCCGAUAGGUUUGAAUCUUUUAAAGUAAUUUGUCUAAAAUAAAUGCCUAUUUCUUGAAGUAGAGGCAUUCAGUUGGAGAGGUUCAUUCUUGUAGGUGAGUUGCACAUAGGUGGGUGCAACCAUUGGCACCGCCCCAUGUAUAACAUUUAUUUUUAGGUAGAAGAAAGCAACAGGGUUCUCACUCAGUUGAAGGAAUUAUAAAGCCUGUUUUCAAAUGAUUCAAUUCAGAAAUACCUCUUCUUCAUUCCAGGUAAGUGGUUAGGAUUGUAGAUUUAGCAGACUAAUGUGCUGAACUUUUCACGUGAAAUUUUCUGAACAAUGCAUUUUGGAGGUACAGUAGAGUCUUGCUUAUCCAAUGUAAACGGGCCGGCAAAACGUUGGAUAAGCGAAUAUGUUGGAUUAUAAGGAGAGAUUAAGGAAAAACCUAUUAAAAAUCAAAUUAGGUUAUGAUUUUACAAAUUAAGCACCAAAACAUCAUGUUAUACAACAAAUUUGACAGAAAAAGUAGUUCAAUACACAGUAAUGCUAUGUAGUAAUUACUGUAUUUACGAAUUUAGCACCAAAAUAUCAUGAUAUAUUGAAAACAUUGACUACAAAAAUGCGUUGGAUAAUCCAGAAAGUUGGAUAAGUGAGUGUUGGGUAAGUGAGACUCUACUGUAUUUCCUUAGGAAUGUUUUUUUUUCAUAUAAAGCAUUUGACAUCUAUAGAUUUUAAGUACUGUUAGAAAAUUUAUUAUUCUGGCAAAAGAGGAGAACACCAGAAAAGCAAAUAAAAGCGGGAUCUUAAGUACAGUAGAGUCUCAACAGUAGUAGUCAAUGUUUUUGUAGUAAAUGUUGCAAUGUUUUAAAUGUGUAAUGUGCUAAAUUCGUAAAUACAGUAAUUACUACAUAACAUUACUGUGUAUUGAACUGCUUUUUCUGUCAAUUUGUUGGAAAACAUGAUGUUUUGGUGCUUAAUUUGUAAAAUCAUAAUGUCAUUUUAUAUUUUAUAGGCUUUUUUCUUAAUCCCUCCUUAUUAUCCAACAUUUUUGCUUAUCCAAGGUUCUGCUGGCCCGUUUAUCUUGGAUAAGUGAGACUCUACUGUAUGUGUUUUCAUCUGAUUCAGUUGCUCAAUAUAUUUCAAGAUGAUCAUUUCGAAUUCUAAAUAAUAAUAAUAAUAUUAAUAAUAAUAACAAUAUACUUUAUUUAUAUUCCACUCUAUCUCCCCAAGGGGACUCAGAGCAGAUUACAGGUGCAUAUAUGGCAAACAUUCAAUGCCGUUAUACAAUAGAGAAAGACAGAACAGUACAUAAACAGGCAGGCUUUCCCUCUUUUUUUCCAUCUCCGGCAUCUGGAAACUCUGUUCAAGUCAGCCAUGGGAAGGUGCUGUUGCUUCAUUCUUCCAUGCAGAGGAAUAUUCUGCCGUCUGAUGCUGACAUGCUCCAAGGUUUUCUUAUUUUGAGAUGCAUAUUAAAAACAUGCAAGCCAUUGCUGUGUAGUUUAAUCCACCCGCUCUUUCAUGAACGAUGUAAAUACUAUAUAGGUCAAAUAUUCCUUAUUCAGACUCCUGAAAUCCAAAAUACUCCAAAAUUAUCAGCAUGACAGGCUGAGAAAAUGGCACUUUUGCUUUCUGGUGGUUACCAAACUUUGUUUCAUGCUCAAAGUUAUUUAAAAUCUUUCAUGUUUAGAUAUGGGCCCUAUCUCUGAGUUAUCUCAGUAUUUUAAAAUCUGAAAUAAUCAAAAAUACAGAACACUUCUAGUCCCAUUGGGAUAAAGAAUAAUCAACUUGUAUCCUAAUUCAGCGCAUUGGUUAUGGCAUGUUUUAUUGUUGUAUACUCCCUGGAAUCUUCAGAUGUGAAGACGUUUAUAUAUAUUUGCAAACAAAUAAAAGUAAAUGCCGUAUUA